AUAUUCACAGGUCCUGGGCAUUAGGAUGUGGACAUCUUUGGGUUUGUUCUCCUGCCUCCCACAAUGUGUAAUGCCAAAGCGUCCUGUGGAAGCAGCACUCUCCCUCCACAGUGUAUGAAAAGGGCUAUUUGCCACUCCUUUGCCAGCUUCAGAGGACGAUGAUAUCGCAUAUGGUCUUUAUUUACAUUUAUUUAUCUACUAGUGAGCUUAAACAUCUUUCCUACAGAUGCACUUCUUUUCUUCUUUGGUGAAGAAGUUCGUGAGCUUUGCACAAGUUUUAAAGGUCUUUUUAAAGGUUUAAGAGUUAAGAGAGACCAACUCUUUACUUACCAUGUGUGCUGUAAACAUGGGGUGUUUUCUAGCUCAUCGUUUUUCCCUCAACUUUCAUUUUUUUAUUACCUAGUCAAAUCUGUCAAUUAUUUUUUUUAGGGUUUUCCAGCUUUUGUGUUCUGUUUAGAAAAGUAUUCUCUACUACAAGGAAAUAAAAUAUCCCUGGAUUUCUCAGUGGUCUUCUAAGAAGUCCUAGCCCCCUGAGACAUGGAAGAGCAUAGGAUAUAAGGAAGGGAGCGGAUGGCGGUAUCUCCUGUAUAUAAAUGGAGAAAAUGCUCUGUAGCCUUGAGCUACUCUGGCAGGAUACGUGACUGGGCUUUCCUCACCUCACCCCAGAGGACCACCUAAGAUCCCAAUGAAAUGGAAAAAAAGCACCAUGAAAAUGUGCCUACUGCAAGCUGGAUGCAAGGUUUCUAGGGACACUACAAAGCCGAAACUGAGACAGGUGUGUGCCCAGAAACACCACAGCCCGUGAAGACCACCAGCAAUGCGAGCUGUGGGGAAGUGGAGACCACCACGCAUUUGUGCCCCUUCCUGCUGGCUUACCUGUAACUCACAAAAUGAAGGCGGGCCUCAUGAGAUUUUGCUUUCUUUUUCUACUUAUUCAGACAACAUUACAACAUUAAAAAAUAUUAAAUUAAAUGGAAAAAGUACAUACACACCACCCUUAUAUCAUCGUAUUUCUUUUUGUUUUUAAUUCAUUUGAUCAGUGUCGUUGAACACUUGUUUUGUGUUUCCUAUUUACUUAUGUGUAUAUAUUUUAUAUAGUUGUAAUUAAUAGAAUAUAAAGUCUUUUACUCAUAUUCACGUCACAACCCUUGAAACACUAGAUUUUCCCAUGUAGCUAUAAUUUUUAUUUUAUCAUAAAUUCAAUGGUGAAAAAAUAGUUCAUUCUGAGAUAACUUGCUUAACUGUUUCCCUUUUGUGUUUCUUUAAAUUGCUCUCAGGUUUUUGCUAAUGUAAGAAAUGUUACAGCAUGCAUUAACCAUAUUAGCCCAUGUAAGUCAUUUUUGGAGUAAUUAAUUUAGAAUAAAUUUCCAGAACUGAUAUCAAAGGGUCAAAAGUUCUACACAGUUUCAUGGCUCUUAAUACCAAAUUAUGUCCCAAAGACUGCUAUCUAUUUGCAUAGCAAUCAACAAGGUAUGAAUAGACCCAUUUCCCUGGUAAAUCAUUGACUUCGGAUUUUAAUAUUAACUCUUCUGAAAUUUUAAAAUAAUUCUUCAUUGUCUGAAUUAAUCAUUUCUUGUUUUACUGGAAAAUUUGAAUGCUUUCCCAAAUAUUUGUUUAUUUUCCAAACUUCUUUUGAAGUCAGUGGUCCCUGUCCUUUUUUCCACGUAUCUACUAGGAUAUUGCAGGAGCUCUUGUAAAGUUGUAUGAGCUUUCCACAUACCACAGAGCAGUUUCUCACCCUGGGCACUAUUGAUAUUUAGGGCCAGAUAAUUAUUGGUUUGGGGCUGUCCUGUGAUUGUAGGAUGUUGAGCAGGUCUCUACCAACUGGAUGCCAAUAGCACCACCCCCCUCCCAAGCUGUGACCAACAAAAAUGUCUCUAGAAAUUGCCAAAAGUCCCCUAGAGGCAAAAUUGCCCCAGAUGAAGCAGCACUGCCCUAGAACACAACAGGACUAGCCAUCAACGAUGACAGUCUCUCCAUGUCUGGCACUGCCCUAAGUGCUGUAUCUAUAUUCACACAUCUUGGACCUACAACAAUGCUACAAGUUAGAUACCACUGCCUACCUUUACACAAGGAGAAACUGAGGCACAGAUGAAUUAAGUAACCUGGACGUGCUCACACAUGUGGUAGAGGCAGGAUUUGGAUCCAUCAGUCUGACUUCAAAGUCCGUGCUUUCACCACCACUCCUGGAACCUCUCCCUUCCCAUUAUGGGGUGCCAUGUUUCCAUUUUGUAUCAGAUCCUCUUUUUUUGUUAGUUUUAAUUUUGUAAACAGUUUUACAUAAUCAAAACUGCCCAUCUUUUUCCUUGUGAUGUCUCCUAUUGCUUUAAUUCUCUCAGAAGCAUCCAACUCUUCGACAUACUCGGGAAUUAACUCUCUUUCUACUUAAAAAAAUAAUAAUGUUUUACUCUCCUAUGUCUUAUUUUGGCACAUAGCUCUAACUUAAUUUUUCUCCCUAUUACUAUCUACUUAUUAUAACAUUUAAUAAAGUUUUCUGUAGUCUAAUUUGAUCGUAUAUGUGCUAUUACAAAGUAAAUUGAUCAGAACCUCUACUACAUUUCACUAAACACAUAAAUAAUUUUGGUGUUUAUAUUACACCAUUUAAAUAUUAUUGUUAUAACAUACUCUACUAUCCAUCUGAAAUGAUCUUCUCCCAUCAUUUUUCAUUUUCUUGG
ensembl:lncRNA